AGGGUGUAAACGCUGCAGACUUGGUGUUGGGAACCCUUCGGGGGUGCUCAGUGCCGGAGAGAAGUUGUUAAGUCUGCUACUCGGGGAGUACGUCCGCAAGGAUGAAACUUGAAGGAAUUGGCGGGGGAGCACCGCAACGGGAGGAGCGUGCGGUUUAAUUGGAUUCAACGCCGAAAAACUCACCAGCAGCGACUGUUACAUGAAAGUCAGGUUGAUGACCUUACUAGAUUUUCAGAGAGGAGGUGCAUGGCGUCAGUGACU
rnacentral:rRNA from 1 species